rnacentral:misc_RNA from 1 species
GAUGAAGAACGUAGCGAAAUGCGAUAAGUAAUGUGAAUUGCAGAAUUCAGUGAAUCAUCGAAUCUUUGAACGCACAUUGCGCCCGCCAGUAUUCUGGCGGGCAUGCCUGUCCGAGCGUCAUUUCAACCCUCGGGCCCCCCUCUGCGGGCGGCCCGGCGUUGGGGCUCAGGCGCCGUCUCUGCUCGGCGCCUGUCCCCUAAAUGCAGUGGCGGCCUCGCCGCUGCCUCCUCCGCGUAGUAGCACAAACCUCGCGGCUGGAAGGCGGCGCGGCCACGCCGUAAAACCCCCCAGCUUUACCAAGGUUGACCUCGGAUCAGGUAGGAAUACCCGCUGAACUUAAGCAUAUCAAUAAGCGGAGGA